UGGGGCCUCUCGCUGGCUUUAGGGAGAGAGAGGCCUGGGGUAGAGGAGAGCCCUGGGGAGCAGGCAGAGGUGGGUUGGCAAGGGCCUUGUGUGACUUGGGCUGAGAAACUUCACUUAUUCCCUGGCACUGGCAGUUGUCAAACUGGGUCUUGUAGAUGCUAAGUCUCCAUAGAGGUAUCUUAGUUUGGUGACAAGGAUGGGACACCUUGAGUGAGCCGUUCCACUGGGCAAAUUGGAGGAUGUGUAGCCAUCUUCGGUCAGACAAGAGGCCCUGUUUGCUGAAGUCUUUCUUCAACACAUUGACUCAGAAAUCAUACGUGAUGUGUUGGGAAGUGUGUGGGGCAGUGGAAGGAAUGUGGACUGUUGCCUCCCUUUGCUUGUCUGGAUGACCUUGGAUGAGGCAGGCACUGAGACAUCAAAGCAGCCAAGUGCCGCCCUGACAUUGAGCUGGCCGCUGUACCGUGAGGCUGCUGCUGUUGGCUCUGCGUGAUCAGGAGAGUGGAGAUCAAAGGUGCCCAUUAUGCGGUGAGUGCCGUGCCUGUGCCUGCCUGUGUCGGGCCUGGGAGACUGUGCUGAUGGGGCACUUUGGGGCAGC